rnacentral:rRNA from 1 species
AGCUCCAGUAGCGUAUAUUAAAGUUGUUGCAGUUAAAAAGCUCGUAGUUGGAUUUCUGGUAUGGUAUGCCUGGCCCGCCACGGUUACGUGUGUGAGUGCCGGUGUGUACUUGCCAUCCUUCUAGAGAACGCAUCUGUCCUUAACUGGAUUGGGUGCGAGAUCUAGAUCUUUUACUUUGAAAAAAUUAGAGUGUUUAAAGCAGGCAUUUUCGCUAUGAAUACAUUAGCAUGGAAUAAUAAUUUAGGACUUUGGUUCUAUUUUGUUGGUCUCUAGGACUGAAGUAAUGAUUGAUAGGGAUAGUUGGGGGUGCUAGUAUUCAGCGGCCAGAGGUGAAAUUCUUGGAUUCGCUGAAGACUAACUUAUGCGAAAGCAUUCACCAAGGAUGUCUUCUUUAAUCAAG